rnacentral:rRNA from 1 species
AGUCUUUCUGCCCAUUGAUUUUAAAAGGCUGCGGUAUUUUAACUGUACAAAGGUAGCAAAAUAAAUAGUUUUUUAAUUGAAAACUAGAAUGAAAGAGUUGAUAAAAUAAAAGUUGUCUCAAUAAUUGAAUUUAAAUUAAAAGUAAAAAUUCUUUUAUUUUUUUAUUAGACGAUAAGACCCUAAGAAUUUUAUUAAUAAAUUUAUAUUAAAAUUUAUAAAUAAAUUUAUUAAGUUUGUUGGGAGGAUAAUUAAAUUAAACUUUAAUUUAAAUUAAAAUAAUUAAUUAAAUUUAAUGAUUAUUAUUAUAAUUAUAAGAAUUAAUUACCUUAGGGAUAACAGCGUAAUAAUUUUGGAUAGAUCAUAUUGAUAAAAUUGUUUGCGACCUCGAUGUUGAAUUAAAAUAAAAUUUAGAUGGAGAAGUUAAGUUUUUAGUCUGUUCGACUAUUAAAAUUUUAC